rnacentral:rRNA from 1 species
AUGAACGCUGGCGGCGUGCCUAAUCCAUGCAAGUCGCGCGAACAGACGAGGAGCUUGCUCCUCUGAUGUUAGCGGCGGACGGGUGAGUAACACGUGGAUAACCUACCUAUAAGACUGGGAUAACUUCGGGAAACCGGAGCUAAUACAGGAUAACAUAUAUAACCGCAUGGAUCAACAGUGAAAGACGGUCUUGCUGUCACUAAUAGAUGGAUCCGCGCCGCAUUAGCUAGUUGGUAAGGUAACGGCUUACCAAGGCAACGAUGCGUAGCCGACCUGAGAGGGUGAUCGGCCACACUGGAACUGAGACACGGUCCAGACUCCUACGGGAGGCAGCAGUAGGGAAUCUUCCGCAAUGGGCGAAAGCCUGACGGAGCAACGCCGCGUGAGUGAAGAAGGUCUUCGGAUCGUAAAACUCUGUUAUUAGGGAAGAACAAAUGUGUAAGUAACUAUGCACGUCUUGACGGUACCUAAUCAGAAAGCCACGGCUAACUACGUG